rnacentral:lncRNA from 1 species
UAAAACCAAAGACAUUAAGAACAGAAGCCUUAGUCCUUCCAAGCCAAAAAAACGUGAUUCUUCCAAAAAAAUUCAAGGAAUCAGAAGAAUUUCGUCCGUGAAUUUUUAAAGAAGCAAGGGCAAAUUUUGCUCAAUCAACGAAGGUUUUUCAAUCGAGUAUUAGACAGAGUUUUCCCUACUCCAGGUUUGUUAAGGCUCUCCCUUCUUCCUUUUGGCAUGGUCCAAGUUAUACUGAACAAACGAGCAAACACGUAGUUUUCAUAAAUUACUCUAUUCAUAGAAAUAAUAGGCGUGUUUAUAUUCUUGAUUUCCAUGAAAAAUAUUAUUAUCUUCUGUUCAUGGGUCUCAGAAUAAUACAUAGUUGGAAAAGUUUAUCCAUAAGGAAUAUUGAGAUUUUUACGUAUUUUUUAUGCAUUUCACUUAUUUAUACAUGUGCAUUGACCCAUGACCAGAUGACGUUAUAUACGCGUAUAUAUGUAUAUGAGAUAUGGGAAAAGGUUACGAUGUUAUAUAUGCAUUACCACCUAAUCAGAUGGUAUAUGAUGAUGAUGUUGCCCACAGUGGCUGAAAUAUGAUCCAGACGGCGAUAUAUACACGUAUAUAUGUAAAUAUAUGCAUAUGGGGUAUGGGAAAGGGUUACGGUAUUAUAUACGCACCACCACCUUAAUAGCUGGUAUAUGUUUAUGAUGUGCCCAUAGUGGCCGAGACGAUAUGAUGGGAUGCCCUCAGUGACUUGAUGAUAUUAUGUACACCCAUAUCUAUGUAUGACACGACAUUUAUACGCAUAUGCAUAACAUUAUAAACGCUUUAGAAUUUACAAAGUUAAUCAGAUUUAAAGACAUGUUUCUAUAUUCCAUGUUUCAUCUAUGUCUGUUACGUACUAAUUUUUCAUGCCUUACAUACUCAGUACAUUUUUCUUGCUGACGCCCUAUUUCAUGGGGCCUGCGUUUCAUGCCCGCAGGUGCAGGUAGGCAAGCUGACGGUCUCCUUCUUAGGAUCCUUGACCAGCGAGCGUUGGCGUGCUCCAUUUGAUCCGGAGCUUCUUUUGAUUUUGGUACGAUAUGUUUGUACAUAUAUAUGUAUACGGGUAUGAUGUGGCUCAGUCUUGUCUUUGUACAGUUAUGUUUCUAUUAGAGGUUUGUGGACAGUAUGUCUAGUUGGGUUGUAUGUCGCCUUGUCAGCUUUCAGAUUUGGAUGUAUAGUUGUCUAUAGCAGCCUUGCCGGCUCGCUCACUGUAUUCUGCAUGUAUACAUACAUAUGAUUUGAUGGCAGGUUUCCUUCACGUAUGUUAAUAUCCUAGAUGCAUGUUAGGGGUGUUUGACAGGUAGGACUCAAGCACCCGUCGCGGCCCAUCGGUUUGGGUCAUGACAAAAGUGGUAUCAGAGUAGUUCUGUCCUAGGUUUGUCUAUAGACCGUAUCUAGUAGAGUCUUGAUUAUGGGUGUGUCAGGCACCACACUUAUAUAUAGGAGGCUACAGGACAUAUAGGAUGUUAUCCUCUCUUCUUAUCUUAGAUUGUGUGAUGUAAGCAUUCAUGUUCCUAACGAUAUGUUACGUUUUCAGCGAUGCCGUCGAAGACUACAGCUGCUAGCACGGGUCAGAAGGCUACGAAGGUGUNN